CAGGACCCCAGGUAGAGAAAGUAUCUGUGAAAGAUUAAGAAGAUGGCUGAUUCCAUGCAGAUGCCACACAACUGUCACAGACACCCCAGGGAUGGACUCCCCGGGAGUGACCACCAGUGACCUACCAAAAUCAAGAACAUCCUAAAGUGCCUUGUCCAGGAGGAGAGAAAUCCAUCCACCACAGAGCUGCAGGCCACUGGAGAAAGCUAUAUUAUGCGAAUGGCCACAAUUUUCAGGCCAAAUGCUUCAGCAGGGGCUUUGCUGAUGUUCAGGAGCAUCCAUUCUUUCAAAAUGUGGACUGGGACAUGAUGGAACAAAAGCAGAUGAUAAUGACAUCGUGAGGGAGAUCGAUGGAUAUGAAUUUGCAGGUUUUGAGUAUAUCAAUCGUCUUAUGAUGUAUGAAGAAGAAGGGAUCUGAUCCUCAUUUUUAAACUAUGCAUUUUGCUUAUGUUGCCAUUUAAUGCUUGGAAAAACUUGUUACCAGCCUGGAUAGAAUUAACCAUUUCAGAGUUGUUUGGAAGCUAAUUUUAAUUUAUUGUUUUGAAGUUAUAUUUAGAUGUAAUAUUUUAUUCUUAUAGUCUAUAGUAGAGAAUAAGGAAUUUUUUGUUCAUAGAUUAGAUUUUUAUGAACUUAUUUAAAUAACAAUGAGGCAAUCACUUGUUAACCACACUUGUAUAUACAUUCCAUUUGUUGAGUGGGACAUAAUACCUAACAUUUUUUCUUU
rnacentral:lncRNA from 1 species